GACGAACGCUGGCGGCGUGCUUAACACAUGCAAGUCGAACGGAAAGGCCCUGCUUUUGUGGGGUGCUCGAGUGGCGAACGGGUGAGUAACACGUGAGUAACCUGCCCUUGACUUUGGGAUAACUUCAGGAAACUGGGGCUAAUACCGGAUAGGAGCUCCUGCUGCAUGGUGGGGGAUGGAAAGUUUCGGCGGUUGGGGUUGGACUCGCGGCUUAUCCGCUUGUUGGGGGGGUUGUGGCUACCAAGGCUUUGACGGGUAGCCGGCCUGAGAGGGUGACCGGCCACAUUGGGACUGAGAUACGGCCCAGACUCCUACGGGAGGCAGAAGUGGGGAAUAUUGCACAAUGGGCGGAAGCCUGAGGCAGCAACGCCGCGUGCGGGAUGACGGCCUUCGGGUUGUAAACCGCUUUCGCCUGUGACGAAGCGUGAGUGACGGUAAUGGGUAAAGAAGCACCGGCUAACUACGUG
rnacentral:rRNA from 1 species